rnacentral:lncRNA from 1 species
GCCUCAGGCACUCUGUGUUCUUCAGGCUGGCCUUGGCUCUGCUGCAAGUGAUCACUCCGUCUUUAGUCACUACCCACAUCAUAGGAAUUUGGGAAGAACUAUUCCCGGGGCUUAGGAGGGUGUUUCCGAUCCAUCUUUUUGCCUAGUAAUGUUGGCCGGGUCUUCUUGGGAAGCUCCUGGACAUUCUCCAUGAGUCCAGCCCCAACGCACUGCACCGCCUGUGCCGUUGGUAAGUUACAGCGGAUCCUACACAGCAGCUGCCCUGG